AUAAAUAUGAAAGCCAAACUGAACAUAAGCUUCCUGAAUUCUAACUAUGUAACUCUGACUAAGAUCGAUGCAACAAAGCGAAAUUAAAGCAUUUUUAAGUAUCAUUGUUAAUGUAGUUAGGAUUGAUUUAGCUUAUUAGUAUAUCGUUACAGCACCAUUUUUAUAUUAUCACUGCUUUUAUUGUAUUAUAUUUAUUUUAAUCAAAUGUAAAUAUAAGUAUUUUCGGUGAAUGAACUGUAAAAUAAAUAAAAUAUUAAUCACUUAAUUAAUCUAAUAAAACAUUGAUAAAAAAAGUUAGCUAAUUACUGCCUGAUUAUUUAAUGGAAUUGCAUUGCCAAAUCAUUUGAAUCUGAGGUGCUGUGGGUUUUAGCUAUAGAUACAGUUUCUUGUAUGUAUAUGUGGUGAUGAUGAAGAAGUUGAUGGUGAGAUGGAGUGUGGUUUGGUUGAUCUUGGUGGUGCAUAUUUCUGCUAAUAUUGAAAGUGAUGUCUUGCAUAGCCUUAGGACAAACUUACAAGAUCCGAACAACGAGCUCAAACCCUGGGACUCGAGCCAUGCCAACCCGUGCACUUGGUUUCACGUCAUCUGCAACAACGAUUUCAUUGUGGAAAGACUCUGAGAAUCUGUUCUUCCUACUACCCUUCGUCUCGUGCUUGUCUGAGCGUUGGUCUAAUCUUGCUGCGUUCGACUCUGCCUGAAGUGAUCUAGGGAAUUUGGCUUUAUCUGGUCAGUUAGUCCCACAGCUCGGCCUAUUGAAGAAUUUGAAGUAGCUGACAUGCCCUUUGUUUUGCGUUUGCUUCCGCUCGGUUUCGUAUCUUAUUUCCAAUCAAUGCAUAAUCUGGUGUGUUAGUGUA